GACGAACGCUGGCGGCGUGCCUAAUACAUGCAAGUCGAGCGGAUUUAUCCUUCGGGAUAAGUUAGCGGCGGACGGGUGAGUAACACGUAGGUAACCUGCCUAUAAGAUCGGGAUAACUAU
rnacentral:rRNA from 1 species